CAGCUAAGGUCCCAAAGUCAUGGUUAAGUGGGAAACGAUGUGGGAAGGCCCAGACAGCCAGGAUGUUGGCUUAGAAGCAGCCAUCAUUUAAAGAAAGCGUAAUAGCUCACUGGUCGAGUCGGCCUGCGCGGAAGAUGUAACGGGGCUAAACCAUGCACCGAAGCUGCGGCAGCGACACUCAGGUGUUGUUGGGUAGGGGAGCGUUCUGUAAGCCUGUGAAGGUGUGCUGUGAGGCAUGCUGGAGGUAUCAGAAGUGCGAAUGCUGACAUAAGUAACGAUAAAGCGGGUGAAAAGCCCGCUCGCCGGAAGACCAAGGGUUCCUGUCCAACGUUAAUCGGGGCAGGGUGAGUCGACCCCUAAGGCGAGGCCGAAAGGCGUAGUCGAUGGGAAACGGGUUAAUAUUCCCGUACUU
rnacentral:rRNA from 2 species